GGCUCGGUGGCAGAGUGGUAAUGCGUCCGCUGUUUUUAGGUGUAAAUGAAGAUUGCUUCUGCGGAGAUUGCCUGUUCGAACCAGGUCCGAGCCA